rfam:Myotis davidii contig75767, whole genome shotgun sequence.
AUACUCACCUGGCAGGGAGAUACCAUGAUCAUGAAGAUGGUUUCCCCAGGGCGAGGCUUAUUGGUUGCACUUCGAAUGUGCUGACCCCUGUGAUUUCCCCAAACGUGGGAAAUUCAACGGCAUGUUUGUGAUAGUGGGGGCUGCAUUGGCGCUCUCCUCUG